UACAGAGACUGCAAGCGUUAUUCGGAUUCACUGGGCGUAAAGGGUGCGCAGGCGGCCGUGUGUGUGAGGCGUGAAAGCCCGGAGCUCAACUCCGGAAUUGCACCUCAAACUACACGGCUAGAGCAUUGGAGAGGGUAGCGGAAUUCACGGUGUAGCAGUGAAAUGCGUAGAUAUCGUGAGGAACACCAGUGGCGAAGGCGGCGAUCUGGGAAGAUACUGACGCUGAGGUGCGAAAGCGUGGGGAGCAAACAGG
rnacentral:rRNA from 1 species